rnacentral:misc_RNA from 1 species
GAUGAAGAACGCAGCGAAAUGCGAUAAGUAAUGUGAAUUGCAGAAUUCAGUGAAUCAUCGAAUCUUUGAACGCACAUUGCGCCCGCCAGUAUUCUGGCGGGCAUGCCUGUUCGAGCGUCAUUUCAACCAUCAAGCCCCCGGCUUGUGUUGGGGACCUGCGGCUGCCGCAGGCCCUGAAAACCAGUGGCGGGCUCGCUAGUCACUCCGAGCGUAGUAGUUACAUCUCGCUCAGGGCGUGCUGCGGGUUCCGGCCGUUAAAAGCCUUAUUUACCCAAGGUUGACCUCGGAUCAGGUAGGAAGACCCGCUGAACUUAAGCAUAUCAUAAGCGAGGA